AGGCAUGAAGGGAGCGAGGCAAACCUGAACGCAGGCCCCGCAGGUGUUGGGGCAGCAGUCAGCAUGGUAGAGCAGGCUGGAGGCGGCCACUGAGGCCUCCACCAACUGGUGGUGGUGGUUUCAGGAGGAAGGUUUCUUUCAAAAGAGUCUUGUGGCUUCCUCCGGAGCAGCCAGGGCUGGCAGAAAGCUGGAGUAGAUGUAGAACAAACCAGCCUGACAAUGCCAUUUGUGAUUCUCAGACAUCACUGAACGCAGCACUGUUACUUCGAUUAUUUGCGCCUAAGCUUCAUUUUGCUUUUCCCCUGCUGCAACUACCGCACAUGGAUCUAUGAAAAGGAAGCAGGAAGCUUGGAAUAACAAUGUUUGAGGCUGCAGCUUGGCUUCCUGCUGCUCUGCUGCCUGUUACCCCCCUCCCCAAGCAGGGGAACAUGCAGGGGCUCUGAACGCAGUCUCCUGCCAUUUCCUAUCUUUCAGGAUGCUUUGUAGCUCAGCUCUAGCUCCUCCUCUCCUGCAAUGGUAUUGUGAAAGGUUAAUAUGAGCAGUUAAAACACAGCUAAAGCAGGAAGAAGUCUUGGAGGAAUAAACCAGUUUCUGAAUUAAUUCCUGCUACAGGCAGAAAGCUUUGCAGUAUCUUCAGAGACUGAUUGCUUGAGUCCAAAGGAAAGGGACCAUAAAAAGAUUUUGUUUCAGUGCAGAAGCUCUCAGAGCGCUUAGAGGCUUUAUAAAACAUCUCACCUUAAAUGCUGGCAUGGGUACAUUUGCUGGAACUUGUCCAUGGGAGAUGGGGAACCUGUAGGCACGAAGCAGGCCCCUUUGUCCUCCUAGAGGAGCACUGAAACAGCAGUCAGAAGAGCAGCAAGAUCCUGCUUCUGCAGAAGCCAUCAAAUAGUACUAAAAAUCUGAGCACCUAAAUGCACCUCACCAGCUACUUCAGAGUGGGAAGAUGUACCAGGGCAAGUCUCCCAGCUGUGGUGAUGGAAGCACCAGGCCACGGGGGGCUUCUGGCAGUUCAGGAGCUGUCCUUACCAGAUGGAAAAGCGAGUAGGGCAGCCUGACCUAGGCAGCAAGGCACAUGGCACCAGGAUCAAAUCCCCAGUGUAACAAGACGUGAAUCUAGGAAUUUUGCUGCAUUCUUUCAGAGGCACAGAGUGGAAUAAAAGUGGAUCCAUCUUUUUGUUCCCUCAAACAUUGUGUGAGGCAAAGCAAUUACUGGUAUAAGGUAACUUUCACAUGAGCAGAGCCCUGAAAUUUGGCUUUUUUUCUCAGUCAGAUACAGUUAGGUAUCUUUUCCUUUCUGUUGACAGGUACUUAGGAGAGGAAAAUAGUGAAGGUCAUUGCUCCUUCAGAAACAUGUAGGACCUGAGGGUAGCAUAGAAGGAGCUAGGAAGGAGGGUGCAGACAGAGCCUCCACUCAGCUGGGGUGGAGCAAACGAACCCCCUCAGUUGCUACCCAUUUGCAGUAAUAAGAUCUACAGCCAGUUUGUUACUUGAGGGGGAGUUACAGCACAGCAGGUGGGGCUGGUUUUGUAUAAUGCAUUGGUUUUUCUUUUCCAUUUCCCACCUGCUUCUAUGUUUCUUCCUGCAGCAGGGGCUCUAGCAAAAUUCUGUAAUGUGCAAAGAUAUGGAAUAGAAAUUUUGUCCCAGGUUGCAAACACAAAAUGUUUCUGCUCCCUCUGAAGCAGAGGGGAAGAAAGAACAGCAGGACUUGCCUGUGAGCAUUGCAGCAGGAACUUCAAUGGCCUGUGAGAGGCUAAGAGCCCAGCAGCAAUUUUGGAGUUACUUGCUGUGCAUGAUGCUGCACCCCUCUGCUCCUUCUUGCACGUGCCAACUCACAGUCCUCCACCUGCUCUUAGGGUUUCCUGUGCUGAAUUGUGAGUGGGGAAAUGCAAACAUGAAGGACAAAUCCCCAGGAAAUGGGAUUAUCGGAAGUCAGAAAGUGACCAAGAUUGAAGGACAAGUAGGCAAGGGGGAUUGGUCCUGUCCCCAAAACAGUUUUCACUGGGACAAAGCAGCUCUUCUGUCUGGAAAGUAGAGAAGGAGGUUCUUGAAAAGGCUUUCUGCCAUGCCUGGCGAGCUGAAGCUUAAAUGCCUUGAUUGAAGUAUUGCAUGGCUGACUUGUUAUGUAUGGAUAAAUUUCCAACAUCACGUUACAAACACUCUUAUCUUGUGCAGCAGUUAGGUAUUGCAAAUUCAUUAUGCCAGUCAUUUUACAAAUGCUAUGUAUUUUCCUAUUGCUGUAGCCUUUGAGCACAUUAGUCUUCUCCUGGAAGUUUUCCAUUAAGAAAAUAUUUACAAUCUUAAUUCUAACAUAAUUUCUUUCCCUGGGAAUUCUCAUGGUCGCUAAUUAGGUUAACACCAAUCAUUAGAACACAAACAUAAUUAUUGUCCCAUAGUAUUAAAAUUAGUCACACGUUAAAAGCUAAAUUGAAUUAGUCAAUGGUGAGAAUGAACAAUGGCUGUGCUUCUGAUUAUACCAUGUCAAGGUUUCCUGAAGAAAACCCU